AAUAAGAUUAGCCAUAAAUUUCUGUGUCCAGUUUUGAUCGUCCGUCUUAUUUAAAUUUUUUUAAAAUUAGUAUUUAUACUAUUAUUAGAUUAUAAAACAUGAAUAGUACGUAUGCAUGACUUAUGUUUUUUAGUUUUUGAAAAAUAUUUUAAAUAAGACGAACGAUUAAAGUUGUCCAUAGAAACUCAUGGUUGCACUUAUU
rfam:Oryza rufipogon genomic scaffold, chr07